ACCAAUUGCUUUCCAGCUUGAGGUAAAAAGCUACUGCAAAAGUCCAACAAUUGCAUCCGUUUUUCUUUCCUUGUAAAAACGCAGUUCAAUUCCCCCUUCUCUUCUCCUCAAUUCUUAUACCAACUUAUAUUUCCUUUAUCCAAGAGAGCUUUUGGCCCACGUCCUAAAUUUGUUUCCUGCGUACUCUAGAAUUUUUAGUUAGGAAUGUAGAGGUACAAUAAAUGGUGAGAAAUAUCUUAUUUAGUUAGUGGCUGAUGGAUAACAUCAUUUACCUCAAUUGUUUUUCCUUUUAUAGAACUAAUCUUAUCUGAAAUUCUAACUCUAGAAACAUUUUUCCGUCCAGCAUUUCACUAAGCCGCGCUCCUUCUGCUAGAUGCUGAAAAAGAAUUAUUAAGCAGUUUGAUUCUCACCAUGAACAGCCAUGAUAGUUAGCACUGGGGUUAUCAUUUGUUAUAGAAUGCUUCGUGGACCUAUCCGUGGAAGAUGGAUUAUAACCUGUUAACGUUUUAGUAUUACAAGAUAGAGUUUCAAGGCCUGAUUAACAUCUGGUGUCUUUAUCUUAUUUCCUUUUUCAAUUUGUAAAUCUGCAUUAUAUAGAAAGACGGUGACUAUGGAAUGUAGAAUUUGCUUGUAUGGUUUCUUGUACUACUAUUUAUCGCGUGAAACUAUCCUAGAGGAUGGUGAUGUGGUGGGUAUUAGUCUUCUAAUUUGUACUGAAACAACAUUGUACUUUUGUGUAGGAUGUGAACUUGAGGUUCCAUUUGUCUCACAAAAAUUGUUUUCCGUUCGAACAUUCUUUCACUCCG
rnacentral:lncRNA from 1 species